CGGGAUUUUAUUUGUAGCAAUACCGAUAAAAUCUAGUGGCGGACGGGUGCGUAACACGUGAGCAAUCUGCCGGGAAGUGGGGGAUAACUCGCCGAAAGGCGAAUUAAUACCGCAUGUGGCCAAGGAAGACAUCUUCCCAAAGCCAAAGUCGCAAGACGCUUCCUGAUGAGCUCGCGGCCUAUCAGCUAGUUGGUGAGGUAACGGCUCACCAAGGCUAUGACGGGUAGCUGGUCUGAGAGGACGACCAGCCACACUGGAACUGAGACACGGUCCAGACACCUACGGGUGGCAGCAGUCGAGAAUUUUUCACAAUGGGGGAAACCCUGAUGGAGCGACGCCGCGUGGAGGAUGAAGGUCUUCGGAUUGUAAACUCCUGUCAAAUGGGAACAAGAAAGUGAUAGUACCAUUAGAGGAAGAGACGGCUAACUCUGUGCCAGCAGCCGCGGUAAUACAGAGGUCUCAAGCGUUGUUCGGAUUCAUUGGGCGUAAAGGGUGCGCAGGCUGCGGGGUAAGUCGGAUGUGAAAUUUAGGGGCUCAACCUCUAAACUGCAUUCGAUACUGCUCUGCUAGAGGACUGUAGAGGAGAUUGGAAUUCACGGUGUAGCAGUGAAAUGCGUAGAUAUCGUGAGGAAGACCAGUGGCGAAGGCGAAUCUCUGGGCAGUUCCUGACGCUCAUGCACGAAGGCCAGGGGAGCAAACGGGAUUAGAUACCCCGGUAGUCCUGGCAGUAAACGGUGCACGUUUGGUGUGGGAGGAUUCGACCCCUUCCGUG
rnacentral:rRNA from 1 species